AUAGGCGUAGAAGAAGAAUGUGAACGAAUAAAUAUCACAUUCGCUUCCUGUCUCCCCCGUUUUCGCCUGCAACACCAAAUGGUUAAGUACAUGGUCACGAGGAUCGCACCGAUAGACCCCAGGUUUCUGCAAGGUAAUACAAGUGAUGAUCCUGGAGUGAGUGCUGUUGUUGUGCCAAGCAAUGCCAAUUCUGUCUUAGGUUUUACUAACUGUUAGUUCUCAGCUGUUAUUUCUUACUAAGACAUGAUGUCUAAUUGGAGAAGAGGGUCCUGUUGUAGUGUUCAGUUACCAGUAUCUGAUGUCAAGGUUCAGUCAUGAAAAGUUGAUUCAAUCUCAAAUGUUGCACUACAUAAGGUUUGUUGUUCAUUGUAAAAUUGCACUUAAUUGACUUGACUGCAAAUGUUGAAAUAAAUAUUCUUGGAAAAUA